rnacentral:rRNA from 1 species
CCUACGGGACGCAGCAGUCGAGAAUCAUUCACAAUGGGGGAAACCCUGAUGGUGCGACGCCGCGUGGGGGAAUGAAGGUCUUCGGAUUGUAAAGCUCUGUUAGCAGGGAAGAGGAAGGACGGUACCUGCAGAGGAAGCCACGGCUAACUACGUGCCAGCAGCCGCGGUAAUACGUAGGUGGCAAGCGUUGUUCGGAAUAACUGGGCGUAAAGGAUGCGUAGGCGGUUAAACAAGUUAUAUGUUAAAUAUAUAGGCUUAACCUGUAGAAAGCAUAAAAAACUGUUUAACUAGAGUGCAGGAGAGGU